rnacentral:rRNA from 1 species
UUUUGGCUGACCACCUCCUUCUAGACUGCAGAAAAUCGAAUUCCCGCGGACGUCUGAUUGCAGGAAGCAGGCGCCGUCGGGCGCACGGCUCACUAUAGGGUGUCGUAUUACGAUUCACUGGCCGACCUUUUACAAAGGUGAGCUAAUACCGGAUGAUGCAGCGGGGUCGCAUGACCCUGUUGUUAAAGGUUUCGGCCACUCCCAGAGGAGCCUGCGUGCCAUUAGCUAGUUGGUGCGGUAACGGCGCACCAAGGCGAUGAUGGCUAGGGGGUCUGAGAGGAUGAUCCCCCACACUGGGACUGAGACACGGCCCAGACUCCUACGGGAGGCAGCAGUGAGGAAUCUUGCGCAAUGGGGGCAACCCUGACGCAGCCACGCCGCGUGCCGGAAGACGGCCCUAUGGGUUGUAAACGGCUUUUAGGUGGGAAGAAUCUCCCGAAUUCGUUCGGGACUGACGGUACCGCCAGAAUAAGCACCGGCUAACUCCGUGCCAGCAGCCGCGGUAAUACGGAGGGUGCAAGCGUUGUCCGGAAUUAUUGGGUGUAAAGGGUGCGCAGGCGGAAGCCUACGUCGAGGGUGAAAGACGGCCGCUUAACGGUCGCAGUGCCUUC